rnacentral:misc_RNA from 1 species
CUUGGUGCGCACGGGCUUGUCGGAUCCCUGCUCGGGCAGCGACGGCAACUUGUGCGCGCCUCUUCAAUCGUCGGUUCAAGUGUGCCUUGAUCGGUGUCGGUUUCCUGUGCUGCGUACCUAUCGUGUUGGUAUCGUGUCGGUUAAAAGUGCCCCAUUUCGUCUUGCGUUGCAUCCUUUUCAAGGCUGCGGCGUGGGAUGGACCAUGAAGCAUCCGUCGUGUUCCACAUCCCAGACGUAACUGUCCCCGGGUUGUUGGCGCACGGCGGCACGCUCGAUCUCUCGGAUGCGGAAAAUUGAGUGGGUACGAGGCGUUGGCCCUCUAUUUACCCCAAGAAAAUGCGUUUCACGCUCUAUGCGAACGACGACCGUCGCCGUCGCGAUCGAGUCCUUGCGGCUUGCAUCGCACGGUGCCGGUGUCGGUAAGGAA